AACGAACGCUGGCGGCAUGCCUAAUACAUGCAAGUCGAACGAGAUCUUCGGAUCUAGUGGCGCACGGGUGCGUAACGCGUGGGAAUCUGCCCUUGGGUUCGGUAUCACUUCUGGAAACGGAAGCUAAUACCGGAUGAUGACGUACGUCCAAAGAUUUAUCGCCCAAGGAUGAGCCCGCGUAGGAUUAGGUAGUUGGUGAGGUAAAGGCUCACCAAGCCGACGAUCCUUAGCUGGUCUGAGAGGAUGAUCAGCCACACUGGAGCUGAGACACGGCCCAGACUGCUACGGAGGGCAGCAGUAGGGAAUAUUGGGCGAGGGACGAAGGUCUGAUACAGCAGUGCCGCGGGAGAGAUGAAGGCCUUAGGGUUGUAAAGCUCUUUUACCCGGGAUGAUAAUGACAGUACCGGGUGAAGAAGCACCGGCUAACUCCGUG
rnacentral:rRNA from 1 species